CCUUGAGCCAGCAGAAGUGGUUUAAAGAAAUGUAAUCAAAAUGGACGAUAAAUUAGAAAUGUUUAUUAUGGUUUGCAUCACUAUUGCAGGUGUAUUCUACAUCAGUUGCAAUGCUGCUGACAGCAGUGUUAUCUGUUUUCCUCUUUGGAUUUCAUUUAUCCCUUGCCUUCUUUCUUGGUUCCACGUGAGUAUUUAUGCUUAAAUUUCACUUCAGUCAACAUUCGCACGCUAAGUCACGCAUGCUUUUGGAACAUGAAUGAAUGAAUUCAAAAUGUCUGACUAACGUAAUUCUGCCUUCAGUGUUGUCUCCGUCGCAGUAUAUUUGCACUCCAUUGGGAAGCUCCAGAGAUAGUGAAUCUUAUAGUUUCAGCCAUGUUUGAGUUGCUUUGCAAAUGCUGACGAUUUUUCUUCUUCUUUUUUUUUUUUUUUUUUUUUUUUUUUUUUUUUCUUUUCAUUAUUUGUUUCUGUAUCCUUCAUCAAUUUUACAGAUAAAAAUCUUGAGCUAUGCUAUACGUCCAGGGCCCAUGUGGCCCUGGACAAGAAGUUUUUUCCAAAAAUCUUAUCCCGACUUUGGGUAGCGUAUAACCUUGACGGUGUAUUUUCCUUUUUAUUGAAAAUUCAGCAACGAUGAAAAGGAAAAUUCGUGGUUGAAGGAGAUAAUAUGGUUGGCGGUAGAAGGUCAAUGUUAAAUGUAUGUUUGGCAAAUUUUUCUUUCUUUAGGCAUUGUGCAUUACUAGCCCUUGCAAUUAACCUGAUCAUCUUGCUCAAAUGGCAAAUAUUUUAUUCCACGGCAGUUUCAUCACUCCAUUAGCUCCUGUCUAAACUUGACAUCAUAAUUGUACUAGAACCUUAAAA
rnacentral:lncRNA from 1 species